GACGUAGGGGGCGAGCGUUGUCCGGAUUUACUGGGCGUAAAGAGCGCGCAGGCGGUCGAUCAAGUCGAGUGUGAAAGCCCCCGGCUCAACUGGGGAGGGUCAUUCGAUACUGAUCGACUCGAAGGCAGGAGAGGGUAGUGGAAUUCCCGGUGUAGUGGUGAAAUGCGUAGAUAGUCGGGAGGAACACCAGUGGCGAAGGCGGCGACCUGGGCCAAUAUUGACGCUGAGGUGCGAAAGCGUGGGGAGCAAACAGG
rnacentral:rRNA from 1 species